UAAAAACUCGGCUUUGUUUAUCAGUUGUGGCUUUGCUAUGCAUUUAGGCGGAGAUUGAGGAGGCAGAAUUAGAGCCUUAGUUGUGCAGGUCUUCGGACAUCUCUUCAUUGAUAUGAAGGUUUUGAUGCACGAAAAAAGCAUGCAAGAUGAGGAGUUCAGAAUUCAGAUCCAACAACCAAGUUAAUCAAGGAACUAAACAUUUAUUAGAUGUUGGAUGCACAUUGUUCUAUGCUCAAGUUAGUUCACACAAAUAGUUCACCUGGUGACCUUCAGGUCUGAGCGACCAAUCAGCAACUCUAUAAUUUCAUUGAUUAAGCCACAAUGUCCAGUCAUGCCUCUUCCUAUCAGUCAUAGCCUGUACAGCAGCUGCACAAUCACUCAAGAUUUACUGGGACAUGACACCAUGUAGCGGCAAGGGUUGAUGCCUUCUUUCAGAGCACAAAAUUGAGCUUACUAAGCAUUCAGCCAAUUGGUGAAGGUGCAGGAAGCGGUCGAUAUUUACUUGUGUGCAGCCUGCAUCAGGGCUUUCCAGCAAUGCGAAGGAACUUUGACUUUACGACCGAGUUUGUUACCUCUUCUUUUUGUAAAGGACAUUUUUGUUUGGUUACUUUCGCUUGGAUCAUCUGAAUUUUCAUGUAGUUCUAUUCUGCAGGGCAGCUCUCUACGGUCGCUGUAGGUUCAUUCAGUUCUUACACUCUUUGUUUUUGCCUGGUUUUUCGUCUUAUUUGCAUGUUUCCUUUCGAUCUGGCAUACUGAUUGACUCGCUUGCGCAUCUGCACCUCCAUACUAAAGCCAGAUAACUACGUGCAGGUUACAGUGGCAAUGCAAACUUCUUCAGUUAAAGAUGUCUCGUGGUGAGGCCAUCAGUGGAAGAUCCUUACGCACGUCGUUGUUUUAUGCGAAUACAGAGUUGAAGAGCAUGGAAAAAACUUUAUGAAUUGAAUUUCAUCAUCGUUAACUGCAAAGGUCCAGAAUUUGGACUAUGGUGACCACAUGAACCAACGACUAUGCAAAUCUACUCGAAAGAAUGUUUUGUCUAGGAAGACCACUGUAACAGCAGUGUGGAAUAUUAUCUACCUAUCUACUGCCAUGGAAGUGCCAAUUAGCCACCUAUCUACUACUACGGCAAACACUUAUACCAGCUAAUGUAAUGUUAAGUAGUAGAUCUGUAUUAUUAUGGCAACUACUUCUCUUGGGUUCGUUAGCAUGCCUACUAAACUUGGUCACUGGCCACUGGCCACUGCCGUGAUGAUCAAACCUCAUGCUGCAGUACAUAUAUUUUAGACUGAACACAUAAGCAAUGCACGGGUCUUCAACGAUUUGCCGAUCUUUGUCCAGGUUGUAUGCUCUCGAGUGGUUGUUUCGGGUGUUGAGCUUUCAGUUAAGUGUAUGUUUGCCUACUUUUACUCAUGUCCCUUGGUUGUGGUCACACA